rnacentral:sRNA from 1 species
CCCUAGCCCCGAUGGGAGGGAAAAUCCUUUUGUGUCCGCCGCGGCGGACACAAAAGAUUGGAAGGAACAGCGGGAUCAAGC